GCUCUUUUUUGGGUGCAGUGGGUUGAAUGGUGGCCCCUAAAAAGAUAUGUUUACCUCCAAAUCCCUAGAACUUGUGCAUGUUACUUUAUUUGGAAAAUUGAUCUUUGCAGAUGUAAUGAAGUUAAGAAUCUUAAUAUAAGAUUAUCCUGGAAUACCUGACUGGGACCUAAAUCCAAUGACAACCGUCCUUAUAAGAAAAGUGGAGACACGUGGAGGCAAAGGUGUUGUGAACAUGAAGCUAGAGAUAGCAGUGAUGUGGCCACAAGCCAAGGAAGCCCGGGAAUGCCAACAGCCACCAAAAGCUGGAAGAGGUAGGGAGGGAUUCACCUCUAGAGACUCCAGAGGGUCAUGGCCCUGCUGACACCUUGAUUUCGGAAUCCCAGCCUCCAAAAUGGUGAGAGAAUAAAUUUCUGUUGUUUGAAGCCACCUGGUUUAUGAAGAUUUAUUACAGCAGCCCAGAGAAACUAAUACAGUACAGUGGGAACAGGGCCAAGGGAGGUGGUCAGCAGAAAUGAAGCACUGUCCGGAUGGUGUGAAGGUGAUCUAUGCUGUGGUCAGAACAGCGGAAGGCCAUGAACUUUGCCGGCGAGUGCCUUUGUUCUGAGUCAAAGUGUUCCUUGGUAUGUGAAGGACAUCAGGUCCAAAGGCUGCUAGUGACUGAACAGAUAAUGUGAAUUCCAUCAAAGUUUGACUUCUGCUCAUCCCUACCUCUCCUCCCGAAGAUAGUAGGGUAAGUGUGGCAUCCAGGCAAGCGUCUGAUUUUCUGUUUCUUCUGUUCAAUUGAGGAACCAACUCUGUUCCUACAGAGAAAACCACAGAAUGAUUAUUUUGGAGUGGUAACCAUUUCUGGCUUUAGUGCUUUAGUUCCCAUUUAUUGCUGUGUGUAUCCUUGGUUUCCUUCUGUGUGGUUGCUGGUCCUAAAAUCUCCAUUUGCUUCCAAGUUGGUCAAUUGGUCAGGCCCUUUCUGUCUUGAAUGUGGCCAGACUGUGACUUUAAUUUCAACUAAUACAAUAUGCCAAAGGUGAUAGGAUGUCCAUUCUGGAUUAUAUUACCCAAGACAGAAGCUUACAGAGCUUAAAUUUCACCUUGCUGGGAGAUCCUGUCCUUGCUGGCUGUGAGGAAACAGGCUGCCAUAUUGUGAGCACGGAGAGGAAAGGUGGCAAGGAACUGAGAGCAGCCAACAGCUGACAGCCAGGAAGAAUCUGAGGCCACAAGGUGCUGAAUGCUGUCAACAACCACAUGAGCUUGGAAGCAUGUUCUUCCCCAGGCAAGCAGAGGAAUGAGAACCCAGCCCUGGCUGGCACUUGAUUGCAGCUUGCUGGUGAGACCCUGACACACAGGGCCCAGCUAAACACACCUGGACUCCUAACCCACUGAAACUGUGAGGAAAUAAAUGCAUGUUCUUUUAAGCUGCUGAUUAAGUUGUUAUACAGCAAUAGAUAAUUAAUACUUAAUUAUCUAAUUAAUACAUAUUAAUAUUUUGGCAACAUACACUAUGUUCCUAAGGUACCUCAGAAAAUCCUCAGAACCAUGUGUUGCAAAUGGCAAUGCUGUGGUACGAUGGGGUCUCCUAAACACUGGUAAUGGGUGAUGCAAUCACUUUGCAAAACAAUUUGACGAGAGCUAGUAUAGGUGAGACUGUUCGUCUCCUGUGACUCCUAGAAAUAUGCCCCAGGAAAACUCUUGCCCAUGGUACCAGGUAACAAAUUGGAGGCAGCAUUGUAUUAACAACAAAUUGAACACAACCCAAGUGUUCACCAACUGGAGAAUGGACAAAUCAAUUGUGAUUCUUCAUAAAACAGCUAUAGCAGUGAAAAUGAAGCCCUCUUCUUUAGGAAAGGCUUUCCUCUUAAAGCCACUGACCAUGUCUUAUUCAUCUCUGAGUUUUGUCAUCUGCAAAAUAGGAUAAUAAUAGUGCCUACUGCUUAGGGCUAUAAAUUAGACACUUUAAGUCAUGAGCUUAACACUGUGCCUGACAUUUAGUAAGUAAGUGCUCAUUAAAUGCUACCUCUAAAUCUCCAGGGCUUCGCACAGUACCUGACACAUACUUUAUAAACAUUAAUUGAAUAAAUGAUUAAAUGCAAGGAUUGAUGCAGAAGGCCAGUACAUCAACACCUCAUGUCAAAAGAAGAAGUGUCUGAAAUUAUCAUCCCUCAAGGUCUGCCAGAAGGAACCAAACAUGUAGAAAACAGACCUCCCAAGGUGAUUGAGCAAACCCAGGCAGAAGCUGGCCUCACUAAGGGGGUGUCUGCUAGAGGCUGCUUCUUGGUUCUACCAACUCUGGGCACCAGGUUCUUGACUGGAAUAGAUAAUAGAUAUGCGGAUUUCGGCCAAGUGCAGUGGCUCACACCUGUAAUCCCAGCACUUUGGGAGGCCGAGGUGGGCAGAUCACUUGAGGUCAGGAGUUCACGACCACCCUGGCCAACAUGGUGAAACCCUGUCUCUACUCAAAAUACAAAAAUGAGUCUGGCGUGAUGGAGCAUGCCUGUAACCCCAGCUACUCAGGAGGCUCACUUGAACCUGGAGAGCAGAGGUUGCAGUGAGCCGAGAUCGCCCCAUUGCACUCCAGCCUGGGCAACACAGCAAGACUCCAUCUCAAAAAAGAAAAGAAAAGAAAAGAAAAAGAUAUGCAGAUUUCACCCAGGGUUCUUUAAAUUUGGGGCUUUAUAAACCCAUACCUUGUGUUAAGAACAACAAGCAAUGUACAUACCUAUAGACAAUGAAAUAUAUACGAUAAUCGGCAGAUCCUGAUAUGACUUUUUGAUUCCAUCGUUUGAAGGAUCAGAUAAUGAUAAUAACAUUCAAUGCUGCAUUUGCUCUUUCUCUCAUUCACUAUGGCUCCAUGCAUUCACCCACAAAGAUUUAUUGAGGACAACCCUAUGCCAGUCACUGGGUUAAGCCCUGGAAUACUGCAGUGAGCUCAACAGGCCUGCUCACUCUCCUCGGGCUUGCUUAAAGACAGAUCUGGUCUGAACCUCUUCUACAUGUGCUGAGCAGCCCAUACCCUCCCUGCUAGCUGUUUGUGCAAUGCUAGAAUGUCUUGCUCUUGCUGCUGGGUCCUUAUAUUCUCUGCAAAGUCUUUAUCCUUUGCUUGUGUACUUGCUUCAAGAAGAUUCUUUAGGUCGUGAGCCUUGACAUCAAGUAAAUUUUGAGAAAGGCUUUUCUCCCUCCAGUGAGCUCCUUCCCAUUGGGCUGGCAAGUGAUUUUGUAACUAAUCGCCUCUUUCACCUGGGUGUUCAUGUUUUCUUUUCUGAUGUUUUCUCUGAGGGAUGUGAGCUGGGAAGAUAGGAGGGAGUUUUAUGGUUAAAAGGUCUUUUAUGGCUUGGAACAUGAGCUUUAGCUGGAUCCUGCAAUGAAUAACACCCCACACUUGCAGACAUUGUGAAAGGUAGAUGGUGGGUAUCUGACCGAGUAUAUUCCAUCAGCAGCUCCUGAGUAUUACAGUGGGGUGAGCUGAUCGCCAAAACAGCACAGAGAGAGAAGAGAGAAGAAGAAAGCCCAGCUACAAACCAUUUGACAUAUCCCCAUAUGGCCAGGGAGGAUCAGCUCCUGACACUCUAGCCUAGUCUACAGCUACUGCUUAUUUUGUUUUAGCAAAAGUUUGGAUCCACCAUGUGGAAUUAUAAACAAUGAGAUUUGCUUUAAUGUUUUCUUUUUAAAUAAAAUAAUGCAAUGAGCAGCCAUGAACCUACCACCCAACAUAAUAAAUAAAAUGUUAUAAAUAUCAUUGAAACUCUCUCUGAGUAGGGUUGCCAGAUUUAGCCAAAAACAAACAACAGUGAGAAAACAUGCCCAACUAACUUUGAAUUUCAGAUAAAUAAUGCAUAAUUGUUUAGCGUAAGUAUGUCCCAUGCAAUAUCUGGGACAUACUUAUACUAAAAAAUGUAUUCAUUGUUUAAAUUCAAAGUUACCUGGGCCUCCAGGUAAUGGCAGGCAACCAUUACCCUAAAGUUGGCUUUAUCAUUCCAUUGCUGUUGUUGAUAGCCUUACACAUUUAUAUGUAUCAAUAAACAAAGUAUUGCUUUCCUUGCUUGUUUUCCAAGCUUAUUAAAAUAUAUUUCAUGAAUUUUCCUCUCAACAUUCUAUAUCUGACAUUCCAUUUCACUGCUGAUUCAUUUAUUUUCAUCACUAUAGCUGUUUUAUGAAGAAUCACAUUGAUUUGUCCAUUCUCCAGUUGGUGAACACUUGGGUUGUGUUCAGUUUGUUGUUAAUACAAUGCUGCCUCCAACUUGUUACCUGGUACUUAUGUGCAAGAGUUUUCCGAGGGCACAUGCCUAGGAGUCAUAGGAGAUGCACAGUCUCAGCUAUACUAGCUUACAUCACAUCAAAUUGUUUUGCAAAGUGAUUGCAUCACCCAUUAUCACUGUUUAGGAGACCUUGUUGUACCACAGCUUGUCAACACUUAAAACUGUCAGAUUUUUAAUUUGUACCAAUCUGGUGGGCAUAAAACUAUCUCUCAUUGUGAUUUCAUUUUUCUUUUUCUUGGUACUUAUGAAAUUAAGAUACAUUUUGUAUAUUGAUUUGCCAUUUAUGUUUUCUUUGCUGUGAAAAAUCUUUUCAUUCCUAUUGGCCAUUUUCUAUUGGGUUGUUUGUAUUUUCUCUCACUGAUUUUUAGGACUUCUUUAUGGAUUCUCAAUACUAAUCUUUUAUUAAUUAUAUGCAUGGAAAAUAUGCCCUCUAGAUUUUUGGCUACUCUUUUCACUUUAUGGUGUCUUUAGGUAAAAAUUAGAAAUUUUUUAUUUGAAUUUCUUUAAUUUAUCAAUACUUUAUUUUGUGGCUUGUAUUCUCUGAGUGUUGUUUAGAAAAUACUCUCUUAGCCAAAGUCACAUAACUAUUGUUCUAUAUUGACAUUUAAACAUGUUAAAGUUUUUCCUUUUACAUUUAAGUCUUUAUUUUACCUGGACUUUAUUUUAUAAAUGGUAUAAGGGAGGGAUCCAAUAUCAUUUUUUUCCAAUAUGGAUAAACUCUUGUUCCCCCACUA